rnacentral:rRNA from 1 species
ACGCCUGAAUAUCUACCCCUGAGAGAGGGAUAACUCCUGGAAACGGGUGCUAAUACCUCAUAAGACCACGAGUCCGUGCGGUUUGUGGUUAAAGAAGGCCUCUGAUUAAAGCUUUUGCUCGGGGAGGAGUUCAGGUCCUAUUAGCUUGUUGGUAAGGUAACGGCUUACCAAGGCUGGGAUGGGUAGCCGGGCUGAGAGGCUGUUCGGCCACACUGGGACUGAGACACUGCCCAGACUCCUUCGGGAGGCUGCAGUCGAGAAUCUUCCGCAAUGCGCGAAAGCGUGACGGAGCGACGCCGCGUGGAUGAUGAAGGCCUUCGGGUUGUAAAGUCCACUCUCGUGGGAAGAAACAGGAGAGGUUAACACCCUGCUUCUGCGACGUUACCACGGUCGAAGUGCCGGCUAAACACGUGCCAGCAGCCGCGGUAAUACGUGUGGCGCAAGCGUUGUUCGGAAUCACUGGGCAUAAAGAGCGCGUAGGCGGUAGUGUAUGUCGGAUGUGAAAGCCCUUGGCUCAACCAAGGAAUUGCAUUCGAAACUGCAUUACUAGAGUAUGGAAGGGGGGAGUGGAAUUCCUGGUGGAGCGGUGAAAUGCGUAGAUAUCAGGAAGAACACCGGUGGCGAAGGCGACUCUCUGGUCCAUAACUGACGCUGAGGCGCGAAAGCUAGGGGAGCGAACAGGAUUAGAUACCCCUGGUAGUCCUAGCUGUAAACGAUGGGCACUAGGUAGUGGGGGUUCCGACACUCUCACUGCUGGAGCAAAUGGUAUUAAGUGCCCCGCCUGGGGAGUAUGCUCGCAAGGGGUGAAACUCAAAAGGAAUUGACGGGGGGCUCACACAAGGCGGUGGAAGCAUGGUUGUUUAAUUCGAGGAUACGCGAAGAACCUUACCUGGGCAUGACUUCUCGAUCGUACCUGGUGGAAACAUCAGGGUCAGUUCGGCUGGAUCGAUGACAGGUGCUGCAUGGCUGUCGUCAGCUCGUGUCGUGAGAUGUCGGGUUAAG